GGGGAGAUAGUUCAGCUUGGUAGAAUGCUGGCCUUGGGAGCCAGUGGUCCGGGGUUCAAAUCCCCGUCUCCCCA
rnacentral:tRNA from 2 species